rnacentral:lncRNA from 1 species
GGGAGAGAAAUGAAUGAGAAACUAAAUUGAUUACUCCUGAGAUGGCUGGUGCCAAUGGCUUGCUCUGGGUAUAAAGAAGAGAUUUCACCACAAGCUUCUCCCCAGAGGUGGAAGGGGCAGAUCAGGUUGCUUUUCACUCCUGCCCCGCCCUGAGGAAUGGACUCAGUGACACUGCAGGCCUUUCUCUCCCCUGAUAUCUUUGAGUCAAGGCGCCGUGUUGACCAAGUGUGUCAGAUAAAGGACUACAAAAGUAUUGUCCAAAUUGCCCAGGGAGGAUGUGGCCAACAUUCCUAGGUGUGUUUGCAAAAAUGGCUGAGAGACUAGGUGCAAAGUGAGGGAUGCUGGCAAAGCACGCCUGUAUUUGGAGACCAGUGGUUCUCUCCGGCCACAGGUACUUCUGAUGAAUCUCUUCCAACAGAGUAAUACACACACCUUCAAACUUAACUGCAGAGGAAGAAUCCUACGCUCAAAACCGCACAGAAUGAGUCCUAUCCAGAGAUUCAAAAACAAAAACCUAUCAGGAAACUUUGGAAGCCCUCGUCUGUUUCAGUUUGUAGGAGUGACUGCCUUUCAGGGGAAAGAAUCUGAUGGGAAGGAUGAGAGAGACUGGGAACAGAUGCCCCAUGACCACCCCCUUGGAGAGAAAGCCCGGGUUCCCUCCAGUCCCUCCCUUUAAGGUGAGGAGUCCCUGAGAAAGAGCCAAAAUAUUUUCUGACCCUAAGGGGCUUGCUGUAAGAAGAUAUCACUUUGGCGUCAGUUCUUAAAUAAAUCCAAAGUUGGGGGUGGGGGAACUGCA